AUACGUAGGGUGCAAGCGUUAUCCGGAAUUAUUGGGCGUAAAGAGCUCGUAGGCGGUUUGUCGCGUCUGCUGUGAAAACUGGAGGCUCAACCUCCAGCCUGCAGUGGGUACGGGCAGACUAGAGUGCGGUAGGGGAGAUUGGAAUUCCUGGUGUAGCGGUGGAAUGCGCAGAUAUCAGGAGGAACACCGAUGGCGAAGGCAGAUCUCUGGGCCGUAACUGACGCUGAGGAGCGAAAGCGUGGGGAGC
rnacentral:rRNA from 1 species